UGAUUGGUGGGUAGUCGUA
rnacentral:misc_RNA from 1 species